GGGCUAACUAGGCUCAUAAAAUGCUUCGGUGAUGAUAGCCCUACACAAAGGAAGAGGACAGAGGACCUCACACACUCUCAAGACUGUGAAGCCGACAGGUAUUGAAGACACGUUUUCUAAGAGGAUGAAAGUUGCCAUUGUGAUGGUGAAAGAAGAAGACAUCAUCGAUGUGUUGGUUGUCGUUGAGGCGGCAGUAAUCCUGUCUAAUCUGAGGGAUGUCUCAAGUGCCAUUUCCAUGCUGAUGGGCCUUCUCUUUGCCCUCAACAUAGACUAUCCAACGGAACUUAAGGGCAUCUUUGAAGUCAUUCAGAACAUCCUAAUGAACAUUGGUGGAAGGCAGUGCGUCUCACUAGUGCAUGGUCUAAGAAACAGACUCUUGCAGAACGCCAUGCAGAACUGUAAUUGUAUGCUCACAGCAUACAAUUGCCUUAGUGUUAAGGACAGUUUUUAUUUUACUGUUUGUUUUUUUAUUCUUGCAAGUUCUCAUUCUCACUUUUGUAUGUCACUAAAUGACUACACUUUACAUUCCAGAUUAGACAAUUACUCAUUUGUUCAUGGUUUAAGAAACUUACGUGAACAACAAUAUAAUGGUGGACUCUGCAGAUGCUUAUCUCAUCAAGUCAGUAGUUUUUCCUUUGUUUUGCAAUUGAGCAGACUCAAACUAAUGUUGCUGAAAUAUUCAUAUUAUCAAAUGUUUCAGAAGCAUGCACUCAUUUUCAGAGAUAUUGGUUCUGUGGAAUUUGUUGCAAUUGUUUUUGUUUUUUUGGGGGGUUUUUUUCUCUUUUUUUUUGGCCUGUCCCGUUUGGCUCUUAUGCCAUCAGAGUUGUUGUCUAAAGGCAAAGAAAGAUGCCCAACGGAUUUACUUUACCAAAUUGACCAUCCCAGCCUUGCCGUAAUGGUCCAUUUGAUUCACCUUUUAUUGUUCAUUUUAUUUUCACUUACUGAAUACGGGACAGACUUGACUGGGGGAAAGAAGGGGAGAAAGAAAGAGGGAAAGAGAAACAGCUGAGAAGAGGGACGGGGGAGAAGGGCAAAAGACAAAAACCAACAGAAUGAGCAGAAAAAGAAAAAAAAAAUGCAUCUAUCAAUCACCUGGAUCACCUGUUGAGAAAGAAAAAAGAAAACAAGCAGAAGAGAACAAGAGUAAUAGAAUAAACAACAUCACAAUGAUAUAUGGGAAUAUGACAGUAAAUACUAAAUAUUAAACAUUAUUGUGCAGCACAUAAGAUCAACAGAACACAGUGUGCUUUGAGGUAGGAGCCAAAAAGGGUGUAGUUUGUGGGUGUGAUCACCCGUGUGUACACCUGUGAGCAUGGACGCGCUUGUUUUUAAAAGGUUCCUUCAUGUAAUGAUCUGCUAGAGGGUGUGGGGGGGCCACAGCCCCGUCCUCCAGGGCAUGAAGCAGGUAUGGAGGAGAUCAAAACUCCAGACAUCCAGAGGCCCCCAGAACACAAGAGACCAA
ensembl:lncRNA